rnacentral:lncRNA from 1 species
AACAUAAUUCAUACACAAAUCAAGGUGCAGAAGAUAUAGUGACAUUCUAGAAAACACAUAAUCAAACUUUGUCAGCAAGUUGUGACAACAUACAAUACUCAAAUCUCGUCUACGAAGCCUCUACUGAAAACUAACUGUCUAGGCCGGGACAAGGCCCUCUUCUUGACCAUAAACUGAAAGAGCCAACAUAUAAAUGAAUUUCCUUUCGAAAGAUUGAUGGUUCACCAACUCUGUCAUAUCCCAAAUGUUCUAAUGAUGUGAUGGACCAUGGGACUAUGCCGCAGAACCUGAAAUAUGGGGGUUAAUAAUUGGAGAGUAUUGGUAUGUAGAAUAAUCCAAAAAUAACAUAAACUUCAUGUAAAAUAAGUGAGAGCAUUGCGAAAAAAAUAAUUUAUCAUAAUAUAUAUAAAAAUACAUGGGCACAAUUAAAGUGCUUCAAAACAUUCUUGUUAAUCAUGGACUCAACACUUUUCUUUAAUUCUGAGCUUGAUGGUACACCCUAUAUUUCUAAAAUCCGACGGGUUGCAUGGAAUCCGCUCUUGACUCGGUGGCCAAGCCCCCAUCCCAAGUUUUCACAAGGAUUGGAGUCUCCAAUCUCUACCACGCCACAGGGUCAUCGCCAGUGUGCAAUCCCCUAUUUUAGGACACAAUAAAACACGUAUUAGCAAAACACGGUUUUGGGCAGUGCGUCAUCUGAACUCGUGACUUCUUCAGGUAACCAUCUAACUCUCUUUAGCCCAAUUUUAAUUCUUUAAAACCAUGCUUCAUGCUUAAAACAUCCAUUUCUUUCAUAUCAAGGGCACUCCAUAAUAGGUAUCGUCAUACCUAGACUUGCAAGCCAUAUUGUAUCACAUCAAAUCCUAGCUCUUUCAUUGAAAAUCAUGUUAAUGACCACCAAAAGAUUUAAACAUCAUAUGAGUGUUCUCAUUUCAAAAGCAUAUGAAAACUUAUGCAAAAAAACUCUCUUUUCAAGCCUUUGACACAUGAUGGCCAAUUCUUUCACUAACACAUGCAAUUCUUCAUUAGGACACGAUAGCAUUUAAAAUAAUCACCUCUUUGAAAAAAACAUGUAAGACAACCAUGCAUAAUAAAUAAAGAUACAUUUAAACUCAAGAAUCAUCCUCAUUUAUAAAACAGCCCCAACAUUAGUUAUACAUGAAUCUCGGGAUCAAAAAGGGGCUUGUAAGUCAAGCUCUCAAAUCCGUUUCAUAAUUCAUAAUAUGUUAACACUAUAAAUUUCAUCGUGGGGAAGAAUAUUUCAGAAAUCAUGCUCGUAAAUCACUUUUUGAAACUCAAAUUAUAUAUGCACAUGAUUACAAAUCAAACUUAUGGAAUAAUCACAUGAUAAAAUACGUAGUUUCAUCAAAAUGGGUUCAUGAUGCAUGCUCUUUAAACAAUUUCCAAAAUCCAUUAUAUAUACAUAAUUAUAUAUCUUAAAAUCUCAUUAAAAAUAUUAGACUUACACCCAGGAGAGUUGGGAUAGUCCCACAUACCUUUGACGGAGGAAAAUAGAAGAGAACAUAGAGAGAUUUACCCUUGAAGAUCAAAAUCCUCAAAUCCAAGGUAGUCUCUCCUUUUUUGCUUAAGGAAGGAUGAUUAGGAA